GAUGAACGCUAGCGGCAGGCCUAACACGUGCAAGUCGAGGGGUAACUAGAGUGAUAGCAAUAUUACUUUGGCUAGACCGGCGCACGGGUGCGUAACACGUAUGCAACCUACCUUAUACUGGGGAAUAACUUCGAGAAAUCGGCGCUAAUACCCCAUAACAUUGCGAAGAGGCAUCUCUUUGCAAUUAAAGCUCCGGCGGUAUAAGAUGGGCAUGCGUCCAAUUAGCUAGUUGGUGAGGUAACGGCUCACCAAGGCUACGAUUGGUAGGGGUUCUGAGAGGAUGAUCCCCCACACUGGUACUGAGACACGGACCAGACUCCUACGGGAGGCAGCAGUGAGGAAGAUUGCGCAAUGGACGAAAGUCUGACGCAGCCAUGCCGCGUGCAGGAUGACGGCCCUAUGGGUUGUAAACUGCUUUUGUACGGGAAUAAACCCUUCUACGUGUAGGAGGCUGAAGGUACCGUAAGAAUAAGCACCGGCUAACUCCGUGCCAGCAGCCGCCGUAACAC
rnacentral:rRNA from 1 species